rnacentral:lncRNA from 1 species
CCUUGACAGACCAAGGCAGCAAUGCACAUUUCAACACACAGCCAAAUUGGUCUUUAAAAUGCAUGGUCUGAUCUCCUGCACAGAGUAAGGAACAUCAAAGUCCAGAAAUCAUCUAAUUUUCCUCCAUUCAGCCUUACAACCUGAUUUGGCUGAGAUAAAACUGGCAAUAGAUAACCUGCCAGUGUUACCAGGGCAACUCUUGAGGGAACAGAUCUUCUGCAAAAGCAAUGAAAUGGAGAGAUUAUGCCUCGUAGAAAGGGAGGAAUAACAAAAGACAGAAAUCUUUCAUAAAAAAUCACAAUAAAAU